rnacentral:rRNA from 1 species
UACGUAGGGUCCAAGCGUUAUCCGGAUUUAUUGGGCGUAAAGCACAUGUAGGUGGUCUAACAAGUCUUGUCUUAAAGCUCCGGGCUUAACUCGGAAUCUGGACGAGAUACUGUUAGGCUAGUGGUCAGCAGGGGCAAAUGGAAUUCCGGGUGGAGUGGUGAAAUGCGUAGAGAUCCGGAGGAACACCAAAGGCGAAGGCAGUGUCCUGGGGAGUACCUGACGCUCAGGUGCGAAAGCCAGGGGAGCGAACGGG